rfam:Alligator mississippiensis ScZkoYb_22, whole genome shotgun sequence.
GGUGCCAUGGUUUAGUUGGUUAAAGUGCCUGUUUUGUAAACAGGAGAUCCUGGGUCCAAAUCCCAGUGGUACCU